AAUUCCCGUCCUCAACCGCAGGGCUGACGGGAGAGGAGGCGAUGGAGCUCGGGGCGGGGCCUUGUCGCCGACGACGCCAGGCCGAGGGGCGGUGUGCGGGACCGAGGAGGCAGGGUCGAGGAGGUAUGGCGCGUGGACGUAGGAGGAUAAGGAGGCGGGGUGGACGAGGCGGUGUGCGGGCGCAGGAGGAUGCUCCGCAGCGAGGAUCCCGUUCCCGUCGCGUCCCCCGUCCCGGUCGCCGAGCCCCUGCGUACGAACUGCGGCCUCCUGUUCAACGUCGGCCGCGGGCUGGAGCUGCUGCUGACCUCCGAGCCUUCCGAGAAGGCGAUGCACUCCUUCUCGCCGCGCGACCCGCGCUGGAUGGACCACCACGUCGGGUACCCGGACUGGCUCGCCGACGUGAGGAUGGAGGUCAGGCACGCGCUCCGCUCCCCCUCCUCCAGCUCCACAUUUGGCGACGUAGGGAACCUCUCGUCUCGUCUCUGAAGGUAGAGUGGCCAUAGGAGCACCGACGUGGUUGUUGACUGCAUAAUCUGUGGUGAUCCAGACUCUAUUGGUUCACACUCAUUGAGUUCGUUUGUGAAGAGGGUGCUAGAGCUGCACUUAACUUGCGAACAUCAUCGCCUUGUUCUUCUUGACAACGUAAGGACCACCAACUUCCAUCUGAGAGCGAGACCGGUCGAGCGCUUGCACGCCUCAAGUUUUGUUUUUGGCAUGAUAACAAGGGUUGCUGCUAGACAAGGAAGAUCCAUAUGGUUGACUUGCGCCACUGUAAGAAAGGAAAGGUUUUGUUUUUCGCCUACCAUAUCGAUCCGCCCCAUCUAAGACAUCGACAUGGUUGUUGGACUGUUGAUUGCCAUUUGUUCCUCCCGGUGAGAUGACUUGCAUUGCAUACCCUUGACAGACAUGGUCGGAUUGUUUAUCAC